rnacentral:lncRNA from 1 species
GACAAUUUAAAUUACUCAUAGAAAGGAUCCGGAAACACGCAACCCUAAUGUUAUUUUAAAAAAAAAAAAUUAUACACAGAAAAAAAAUACAAAAUUUAACAUUUGAUAAUGUCUCUAUAUUUUUAAAACCCAAAAAGUUAUUUGUGUUAUUUAUCGUAUAUUAUUAUAUAGAGUAUUUAUAAAUUAUAUAUAUGACCCG